rnacentral:rRNA from 2 species
AGUCGAACGAACUCUGGUAUUGAUUGGUGCUUGCAUCAUGAUUUACAUUUGAGUGAGUGGCGAACUGGUGAGUAACACGUGGGAAACCUGCCCAGAAGCGGGGGAUAACACCUGGAAACAGAUGCUAAUACCGCAUAACAACUUGGACCGCAUGGUCCGAGUUUGAAAGAUGGCUUCGGCUAUCACUUUUGGAUGGUCCCGCGGCGUAUUAGCUAGAUGGUGAGGUAACGGCUCACCAUGGCAAUGAUACGUAGCCGACCUGAGAGGGUAAUCGGCCACAUUGGGACUGAGACACGGCCCAAACUCCUACGGGAGGCAGCAGUAGGGAAUCUUCCACAAUGGACGAAAGUCUGAUGGAGCAACGCCGCGUGAGUGAAGAAGGGUUUCGGCUCGUAAAACUCUGUUGUUAAAGAAGAACAUAUCUGAGAGUAACUGUUCAGGUAUUGACGGUAUUUAACCAGAAAGCCACGGCUAACUACGUGCCAGCAGCCGCGGUAAUACGUAGGUGGCAAGCGUUGUCCGGAUUUAUUGGGCGUAAAGCGAGCGCAGGCGGUUUUUUAAGUCUGAUGUGAAAGCCUUCGGCUCAACCGAAGAAGUGCAUCGGAAACUGGGAAACUUGAGUGCAGAAGAGGACAGUGGAACUCCAUGUGUAGCGGUGAAAUGCGUAGAUAUAUGGAAGAACACCAGUGGCGAAGGCGGCUGUCUGGUCUGUAACUGACGCUGAGGCUCGAAAGUAUGGGUAGCAAACAGGAUUAGAUACCCUGGUAGUCCAUACCGUAAACGAUGAAUGCUAAGUGUUGGAGGGUUUCCGCCCUUCAGUGCUGCAGCUAACGCAUUAAGCAUUCCGCCUGGGGAGUACGGCCGCAAGGCUGAAACUCAAAGGAAUUGACGGGGGCCCGCACAAGCGGUGGAGCAUGUGGUUUAAUUCGAAGCUACGCGAAGAACCUUACCAGGUCUUGACAUACUAUGCAAAUCUAAGAGAUUAGACGUUCCCUUCGGGGACAUGGAUACAGGUGGUGCAUGGUUGUCGUCAGCUCGUGUCGUGAGAUGUUGGGUUAAGUCCCGCAACGAGCGCAACCCUUAUUAUCAGUUGCCAGCAUUAAGUUGGGCACUCUGGUGAGACUGCCGGUGACAAACCGGAGGAAGGUGGGGAUGACGUCAAAUCAUCAUGCCCCUUAUGACCUGGGCUACACACGUGCUACAAUGGAUGGUACAACGAGUUGCGAACUCGCGAGAGUAAGCUAAUCUCUUAAAGCCAUUCUCAGUUCGGAUUGUAGGCUGCAACUCGCCUACAUGAAGUCGGAAUCGCUAGUAAUCGCGGAUCAGCAUGCCGCGGUGAAUACGUUCCCGGGCCUUGUACACACCGCCCGUCACACCAUGAGAGUUUGUAACACCCAAAGUCGGUGGGGUAACCUUUUAGGAACCAGCC